CAGCGGAGGGAUCAUUACAGGACUCGCAAGACUCCCGUAAACCACUGUGAACUUACCUACAACCCGUUGCCUCGGCGGGUGCUCCGGGCGCGUCUUCGGGCGCUCCGGGGCGCUCCAGCCCGCCGGCGGCCCCUAAACUCUGUCUCUGUAACGUUGGCAUCUCCGAGCAGACUAUAAACGAGUCAAAACUUUCAACAACGGAUCUCUUGGUUCUGGCAUCGAUGAAGAACGCAGCGAAAUGCGAUAAGUAAUGUGAAUUGCAGAAUUCAGUGAAUCAUCGAAUCUUUGAACGCACAUUGCGCCCGCCAGCACUCUGGCGGGCAUGCCUGUCCGAGCGUCAUUUCAACCCUCAGGCCCCGCCUGGCGUUGGAGCCCUGCGCAGCGCAGGCUCCCAAAGACAGCGGCGGGCGCGCCCCGGAACCGAGCGCAGUAAUGCUUUCUCGUUCUGGUCCGGCGCGCGCUCCGGCCGUAAAACCCCCAACUUUCUAAGUGGUUGACCUCGGAUCAGGUAGGAAUACCCGCUGAACUUAAGCAUAUCAAUAAGCGGAGGAA
rnacentral:rRNA from 1 species